rnacentral:rRNA from 1 species
UAAGCUUAGUGGCGGACGGGUGAGUAACGCGUGAGUAACCUGCCUUGGAGAGGGGAAUAACGUCCCGAAAGGGACGCUAAUACCGCAUGAUGCAACGAGAUCGCAUGGUUUUGUUGCCAAAGAUUUAUCGCUCUGAGAUGGACUCGCGUCUGAUUAGCUAGUUGGUGAGGUAAUGGCUCACCAAGGCGACGAUCAGUAGCCGGACUGAGAGGUUGACCGGCCACAUUGGGACUGAGACACGGCCCAGACUCCUACGGGAGGCAGCAGUGGGGAAUAUUGGGCAAUGGGCGCAAGCCUGACCCAGCAACGCCGCGUGAAGGAAGAAGGCUCUCGGGUUGUAAACUUCUUUUAUUCGGGACGAAAAAAAUGACGGUACCGAAUGAAUAAGCCACGGCUAACUACGUGCCAGCAGCCGCGGUAAUACGUAGGUGGCAAGCGUUAUCCGGAUUUACUGGGUGUAAAGGGCGUGUAGGCGGGACUACAAGUCAGAUGUGAAAUUCCAGGGCUCAACCCUGGAACUGCAUUUGAAACUGUAGUUCUUGAGUGAUGGAGAGGCAGGCGGAAUUCCGAGUGUAGCGGUGAAAUGCGUAGAUAUUCGGAGGAACACCAAUGGCGAAGGCGGCCUGCUGGACAUUAACUGACGCUGA